AUAGAAAAGAAAACCAAUAAUCAACUUGUUUAAUCAUUUAUAAUUUAUAAACUCGUUUUCACUCAAGUACAUUCUAUUUCCUGAGUUAAUCCGAGUUACAGAGCAGUUCGUGAAAGUUAUUUAUCUUAGAAACAGGUAAGCAUCUAUAAAUAUCUAUGAUAUAAGUAGAAAGCGCUUUUUCGAUAAUAAAACGACUGUUUUCCCUCAUUUUCAAUGUGACAAUUAUAAGUCACGUUCAGAGGUUUUGCUAUGCGCAUUUCAGCAUUUCUCUGACCAAUGUGACUCGAAUCUUAACGACCGGUUACGUCAAAGAGGCAAUGAUUCUUUGAGUUACCUCGAACGUGCUUGGAAACUUGCUAAUGACGUUUUAACAACCUCUGACUUCGACGUAAGGACGUUAAGAUCAUCGAUUGUUUUAGAAUUAACUUGUUUAUUUAUGAUGUGACUUUGUCGACGAAUCAUCAAGGAUACUUUUUAUACACCUGUAUUUCCAGAUAUUAAUUUGUUUUAGGAUAACUGUACAUUAUUGGAACUGAAAGUCGAAUUCGCCACACCUUAGAGAGAAAGAAAACGUUAUAGAAGAGUUUGCUAAGUCACUCUAUCAAACCACAGAGAGAAAAAAUCCUAUCACCGAAACUAACGGUACUACAAUUAUGAUGAAGCUGUAGCUGUAACAAGAAAUAAUCUUUGGCGAAGAGACGACGAUGUGGCGACCUCACGAAAUACAUUCGACAAGGCCUCGACAUUCAACGAUCUGGAAGACUGAACAAUAACCAUGAAGACAACCGAGAAAACAACGAAACGGAACACUUUAAUCGCUCGAUUUUUUAGGGACAUUUUUUUGGUUUAUACAUAUGUAAGUAAAGUGACUCAACAACAUUUAAGCCGCAAGCAUACCGCCCACUUUUAGUACCGACCAUACUUGGUUGUACUACUGUUAAAAACACUUUUCCAGACACUCCUCGUGACGUCACGGAUGUGUUUGAAGGACGGUCGAGGACAAAGACAUCGCAAAAAAACAAAUUACUGAAGAUUGAAGAAUAAGAAGGUGUAAAGGAAACGAUGGGUUUGGUUGAGGAUGUGUUAAAUAAUCAAAAUUAGCAAGUUUUUAUUAGUAACUUUCGAAUUGCAAAAAAAAUCUUGAAGAUAUGUAAAUUUUUUGUUUCAAAAUUGCGAUUUUAACUAUUUUAUCUAUUUACAAUUUUUUUUCUUGGAGGAAAUGAUUUAAGAAUCUCCUUAGAAAUGUCGUAACACAAAUAGAAAAGCAGAGGUGAAACAGAAUCUCUGUGGUUUCUACAACGCUGACGUUCAUUAUGUUGUAAGCUGGUAAGAGGUGUAAUUCAAUAUAUCGUUUGUAAUUAAUCUAUACAGUUAUUUUUUUUUAGGUUUAAUUGAAAAAUGUAUAACUAAAAUGCGAAUAAGACUUUGUGAUUACAAUAUAGUUUAAGGCAUAAGAUAAUAAAAUUGAACUGCAACAAAACCGAUAAUAGUGUUGCAGAUGCGCCAAUGUGCACAAUACAAUGGAAUGACAAGAAAGGUGAAGAGUAUAAACAGUUUCGCCCACCAAAACUUAAAAACCUACAUGUUGCAUAUGAUUUAGAAUACUUCUAAAGAAUCUGCAUUGGGAGUUCUCAUACAUGUGGCGAUCGUCUUCGUUAGACUUUCAUGCAGAUUAACCGGGUAUUGAAAAACUACUGUCAAAAAAUCCCGAAAAGUCCCAAGCGGUGCGAAAACGCAUCCCUUAAGUCAGGUGAUAACACCGUUAGUUGUCCACAGCGUUCGAAAUAUACUGGAAUUUUUCGACGCAAAAUUUGAGGAACACAAUUGCGUUGUUUGGUUAAACUCAAAUGGUUAAUGAGGUAGAGCACCAAGAAACAUUAAAUUGAGGACUGAUAAUAAAACUCUUAAAAAGACACAGGAUACCCUAAUGAUUUUUGUGGAGUCUUACUACAGAACUAAUUAAAGGUCAUCUUAUUCAUUGCGAGUUAUGCUGACCAUUGAGACAAUGUAACUGGUGUGACAGAUCGAAUUUGUCGAAAAAGACAAACCUAAUUUUUUCCACAUGGAAGCGAAAAUUCGGUAAUUCUAGAACGUCAUUGCACUGAAGGAGCUUGUUUAAUGAAGCUAGAUAUGUGGGUAUUAUUCCAGACAGUGAGAUAAUGUAAAAAUCAUCCCUAAAUAACAGUGUCAAAAAAGCAAAUUAAUUCCAUCCAAUUAGAAAUAGCGGGAUGUAUCGAAAUCUUUGGGAAUCAACAAGACAUCAUUGUAGGAUAUGCAAUCGACAAUCUCAAGACCGCACACAUGUUACCUGAAGAUACAUAAAAUAGAACGACGUGCAUUCCGUCUAGGUGCAGUAAAGUCAAAUUCAACUGAGAAUGACAAGAUCAAACAUCCAAAUUGGAGUUUGCUUAUAACAAAAAUAGUGUACAGAACUAAAUUACUAACUAAUUUCUUCAAAUAAACUGUCUCGUAUGAUAAAGCAAGUGAAUUGAAAUUUUAUAUCUGAAAUCUAGGCCCUUCUACAAAUCCCUCAACAAUUUAUUACCCAAAAAAAUCAGCAGUAGUGCAAUUGGUGUUAACGUGUGAUGUCCAUUUAUAAUAAAACGAUUAUCUUACAAAUACAAUAAUUGCAAAGCCUG